rnacentral:lncRNA from 1 species
CGCUGGGGAAAAGAAAAAUGUUUUGUGUUUUUGCCACUGCCCCAUUGGUUUGUGGGCCUGUGUGUUCCUGUAGAGGCCUGACUCACUUCUCCUUCGUCACAGAGCUCCCAGCAAUGUCCUGGCCACAUUCUCAUUAAGGUCCCAAUGGUGAGCAAAACCUCAGUGUCAGAUGGAACACACUGUGAUGACCUGUGGAUAGAAGUUUUUUUUCUUUUCCAGUCGACUUGCUAAUGUCUGCUGGCGUUCUUUUAGCUAAAGUCUUGAGAUCUGCUCCUGGGCCAGGAGGUGGGGAGACAAUGCAGAAAUUGCUUCCUCUGGAACAGCCUUCAUUGGAAUUCUGCGAAAGUGAAGGCCAUUUGGAACUUAGAGAGAGAGAUGGUUCUGGCCAAUCAGGAAGGAAAAUGGUGUCUGGAGGCAGGGAGACCUGGAGCGGAUCCCAGCUCUGCCACAUCUGGAGAGUCUAACUUCAGGUCAGUCACCUACCUCUGGAGAUUGGCUUUUCUCGCCUGAAAAAUGGAGGUCAGAAUAUUUGCUUUAUGCAGUUGUGACACUAGUUAGUUUAAUGCUUAACCUACCUGCUCUUGUAAGGUGCCCCCAUCUCAAUGGCUAACACAAUAGAAGUUUAUUUCUUGCUCAAGUGAUGUCCUAAAUGUUUCUGAUGGUGGGUAGCUCUUCUUCAAGCAGUGGGUCAAGCUUCUUCCAUCUUUGGUUCUUUAACAGCCAGCUCCAAGGUCCCCAUACUUGUGUGUAUCAAGUGGAGGAGGAGAAAUGAGCCUGAGGAUCGCCCGUGUAGGGGCGUCUAGGCCCGGCCUAGAAGGGGCUCACAACGGUUCUGCCCACAUUCCAAGAGCUAGAACUCAGCCAAAUGGUGUGACAGCUGCAAAAAUGCCCCUUUCAGGGCUCCUGGUGUUGGGAGCAUAGAGGAUGGCAGCCCCAGCUGCUGUCCUGGUGGCUUUGCCACUGCAUGCACGUGGAGGGAGGCCGUGCUUCUCCACAGCUGCUCCCGGCCCACGACUAAGCAUGGCGGAGGGCUUUAACCAGACAGUCCUCCAAUGGGCAACUCCAGCUUGAUGACUUCUUGUUGGCCUGGCAGAAAUGUCAUUGGAAGUGUGAUGCAAUCUGAGACUUUUCCUCCUCAGUCGUCCUUUCUCCCUACUUUAUUUCUGCAAGGGUCAGACCCUCAUGUGGCCUGAAGGCUCUCCCUGCUUUCUUCUUCUCCCUCCCCCAGUAAAACCCUUGCAUGUCCAGUCCCAUCUUAGUGUCUGCUUCUUAGCCAGCCUGAACUAAUGCACAUGCCUACACUUAACUGCAAGGAAUUCUGGGAAAUGUAGUUUAUGUGUCCAGGAAGAAAAGGAAGUGGGUCUGGU